GGGUCCACACCUGUUACAGAGGAAUCCACUACAGUAACUACUGGGUCCACCCCUGUUACAGAGGAAUUCACUACAGUAACUACUGAUCCUACUUGGACUACACCGUUUUAUGAAUGGAAUUACAGUUGUGGCGGUCUACGGACUCAAAGCUUUGGUGUAAUAUCGAGCCCUUUCUAUCCCAGCAAUUACCCUCCCUACAGCCAAUGUGUAUGGGAAAUCCGGACAGCACCAAAUACUUCAGUAGAACUCACCUUUCAA